GAAUUAUUCAUCAGUCACUUAGUGAUGCACACUGAGUUCCUCACAGUUUUCCAGUAGUUCAAACAAUGCUGAGGUGUUGAUCUCAUCCAUCCAGUGUACUAACACUUUUUUAGGCAAGGAGUUGCUGACCCAAAAGAAGUGUUGUUUUUCAAAGGAAUCACAAUGUCAUUGCCCCUCUUUUUAGAGACUGAUAUUCCCAGAAAACUAUGCAGGAAAUAGUGUAAGGAAAGUGGUGACAGUGUAUUCCUCAAAGGAGAUAAAGUUCAAAGAUUAAAAAAUGGUAAUUGGAGCAAAAGGCAAAAAAACCUUCCAAAGCAUCCUGGGAAUGAAGUUUACAUGCUUUCUCUCUGUUCAGACUACUAGCAACCUCCUCAAAGAUGGUGUGUAGAAGAUUGAAGAAAGCACCCAGCAGGCCCUGCAUUUUCCAACACACAGCAUGUCUGUUUCUCCUGUGAAUCCUAUUACUAUCUUUCCUGGUGUUGUCAGAAUCGAUAUCUCAUAAGGAGCCAAGGACAAGACAUGAAAAGAUCCCGACAAAUGUGGCAACAUCAAGCUUGAGCCAAAGUUUAGGCCUUUCUACUGGACUAAGACUUCUCCUACAUGGCCUCUGACUACUACAAAACUGAUUUAUUGACUUAUUUUUGAGACAAUUUUUAAAAUCAUAUUCAAGAAACAGCAUAAGAAGUAUGAAAUUCCCAUAUCCCCCCCAGCCCCCAUCAUCCCUGGUUGGGCUGACUUCCUGUAUCCCAGGAUAUCCUGAUACAAGGGUUUUCACCCCAGGCCAACUGUUAUCCUUUGCCAUGAUAGCAUAUCCCCUGUACACUUCAGGGAGCAAAUGUUUCUGAGGCAUGGAUAAGGACACCCAUCAGAAGGAGCACAAGGUCUCUGUCACCAACAUCCACGCAUCUGGACAAGGGCAGACCACGAGUAAACCUCUCACUUCCUUGUCUUCUGUCCUCUCCUCUUCUCCUAUAGGAGUCUAGAGCAAAGUUGGCCAGUAAAUAAACAGAAGGUAGAAUUGCAGUGAGAGGACAUCAUUUCCAAUACCAAGAUGAAAACAAGGUUUAAAACAAAUUAUUUUCUAAAAUAUAUUUUAUUUAUUAUCAAGAUAAAACAGAAGGUAAAGCACUGAAAGAAAAUUCUUAAUACAAC
rnacentral:lncRNA from 1 species